rnacentral:rRNA from 1 species
UACGUAGGGUGCAAACGUUGUUCGGAAUCACUGGGCAUAAAGAGCGCGUAGGCGGUCUAAUAAGUCCUUUGUGAAAGCCCCCGGCUUAACCGGGGAAUUGCAUUGGAUACUGCUGGACUAGAGUACAGAAGGGGAGAGCGGAAUUCCUGGUGGAGCGGUGAAAUGCGUAGAUAUCAGGAGGAACGCCGGCGGCGAAAGCGGCUCUCUGGUCUGUCACUGACGCUGAGGCGCGAAAGCUAGGGGAGCAAACGGG